rnacentral:rRNA from 1 species
ACGGAGGAUCCAAGCGUUAUCCGGAUUUAUUGGGUUUAAAGGGUGCGCAGGCGGAUCAAUAAGUCAGGGGUGAAAAAUUUCAGCUUAACUGGAAUAGUGCAUUUGAUACUGUUGGACUUGAGUAUAAUUGAGGUGACUGGAAUGUGAUGUGUAGCGGUGAAAUGCUUAGAUAUGUCACAGAACGCCAAUCGCGAAGACAGCUCACGAAAUUAUUACUGACGCUGAUGCGCGAAAGCGUGGGGAGCAAACAG